rnacentral:lncRNA from 1 species
CUCCCCGACACUACCCCGGCGAAUCCACUUGUCUCUCGGCAUCAAGGCUCCCCUGAUUAGCUAAUUACUCAGCCAGGGGUGUCCCAUUCCACCCGUGUGGUCGCACUAUUGUAUGCUCGGAUGUAAUUGCAAAGGAAUCGGUCCUUAGAUGCGACCGCACAAGCAUCCCGCCCAGGAAUGGUCUUGUGUCGCGAGUUUUAUUUUUUUAAAACUCAUUUUCUUUCACAAGGCACCGACCCAGGCGUCGGGUUUUCCAAUCCUUUUGUAAACCAAGUUUUACCCAAGAUGUUUCUCAUUUUUUUUUAGUUUGAAUGCGACCAUCGAUACUCGUGUAGAGUGCACGAAUACCAAGGCACGACUAGGCAGUUACAAGGGAACAUGAUAUAGCAAUUAACAAUGGAAGGAUCAAAUGCAACAAGUUAGGUAUGCCUACCGAUCUGCCUCGCAGACAGGGCAAACAUAUUAAGUGCAAACCUAUCAAUGCAUAAUAUUUUGAAAGCAAUAUAAUUAAGUUCAAAUAUAGGCUCAAGAUGUUCAAAGGUGGCUUGCCUUGCUCAGAGUCUUCACGGAGCUUCGCGAAUCUUCGAGAUAUCCACGAUCGACCGAAAAUCCGGUAACCGCAACUAAGCGCAAACAAUGAAAACCUAAACAAAAGACCAAAUAAAAUAUCCUAUUUGGACUAAAAUAAUAGUGCCAUUAAAUAGAUCUCAAUUUUACGGAAUUAUUGGAAGUGGAACGGAGUCAAACGGAGUUACGGAUCACGAGGUAUGAAUUUUGGAAGUUUAUUUGAAUUAAGGGAAAUAUUUGUGGAACAAGGGAAAUUGAUUUAUGAAAUUUAUAGAAAUAAUAUUCUCAAGAAUAUUAUUGACAAUCACUUGACAUGUGGGACCAAGGGAAUGAAUUAUUGAAAUCCGGGGAUUAAGAGGAAGGAUUUAUGGAAUUUGGAAUAUAGGAAAUGAUUUAUGGAACAAGGGGAAAUGAUUUUUUGAACUUAUGGAAAAGAAUAUUCCCGAGAAUAAUCUGUUUAGUCACUCAUUGACGUGUGGGGCCAACAAGGGAGAUAGACGGACUUUUGUGUAAGGGAGCUGAUUUGGUGGAAGGACGAAAUAUGAACUUUGAUUCAAGAGUGUGUUCACUGGGCUCGGACAGAGGGAGUAAAAGUGGACUUUGUUCCUUUUGGCCAAGGAGGGGGGUUGGCCGAUGGGCCUGGCCCAAGAGCGGGGAGGAGAGAGGGGGAGACGGCUGACUGGGCAGGGGCAGGCCCGGUCAACGCCAACGUGGGCAGCCACGUCGGAUGGGGAGAGAGGGGGGGCGGGAACCUCAUCGGACGGCCGGCGACGCUUGGCGCACUCCGGUGAACGGUGGCGAGCCAGAGGAAGUGGCUAGCACUGGCGGAGAGAGGAGGACAAGGGGAAUCAAUUCAACGGUUUGGAUUUGAGAGAGGAGGUACGACGGCUACCGGCGGCGGAGGCGAAGCUCGCUGGAUGUCCGACGUGGUCGCGCGCGAGGAAAGCGAAGGGCGCAUAGGCUCGGGCUCGGCUGACGCGGAAAGGUAUUGCGAUGCACACGCCGUGGCACGGAACCCAAUGGUCGCCGACGACGCGCGCGCGGCGGCGCUAUACGGCGGCGGAAGGGGCGGCACGGCGCGGGAGCGAUUGGGGAGGCCGGCGGCUGAGGCGGCGGUCUAAGAAGGGCCAAGAGGGCUCCAGGAGGUCGGAGGUGAGAGGAUACGGCGAGGGGAUGGCCGACGGCAGUGCGCAUCCAUGCGCGGCGGCUGCCAGUCGAGCGGCACGGCGCGAGAGCAAAAUGGGAGGUCGGCGGCCAGGGGAAUGGAUUGGGGAGGUCGAGGGGGCCCCGAGGAAGGUGAUGGCGAGCGGGUUCGAAGAGAGGGAGACCGACGGUGGCGCACAGCCGGGUGCGGCAUCGGCGAAGCUCGCCGCGGCUACUCGCGCAGCGGCGCCAAGCGGCGGUGGCGAGAGCUACACGAUGCGGAAAAGGAAAGGGAGUGCCAAGGGGAAGGAGGAGCCGAGGAGCUCACCGUCGAGCGGGGAACGGCGUCGCCGGACUUCGGUGAUGGGAAGGGGAGGAAGGCCGAUGGCGGC